GACGAACGCUGGCGGCGUGCCUAACACAUGCAAGUCGAACGAACAGUUUAUGCCGUCGCUUGUUACACGAUAGACAGUGAGUUGUGAUGGGGUGAGUAAUGCGUAGGUAAGCUGCCUGGUAGCGGGGGAUAACUAUUGGUAACGCUAGCUAACACCGCUUAUAUUAAUUAUUGCAUGAUACCUAAUUGAAAGGUGUAAUUGCACCACUACUAGACGGAUUUGCGUUGUAUUAGCUAGUAGGUGGGGGGACGGCUCACCUAGGUGACGGUACAUACCCGACCUGAGAGGGUGAACAGCCACACUGAGAAUAAGACACGGCCCCAACUCCUACGGGAGGCAGCAGGAGGGGAUCUUCGGCAAAGGACGGAAGUCUGACCAAACAACGGCGGGUGAGUGAAGGAAGAUUUCGGAUCGUAAAACUCUGUUUGAAGUGAAGAACGGGGAGAACAGUGAAAAGUUCACACUAUGACGGUAUCUUACCAAAAAGAAACGGCUAACUACGUG
rnacentral:rRNA from 1 species